rnacentral:tRNA from 1 species
GGAGAUUUAGCUAAGUGGCAUAAGCACCUGCCUUGGAAGCAGACAGUCGGGAGUUCAAUCCCCG